CUUUUGAAAAACACUUAAAAAAACCAAUGUAACGCGACUCAAUGAUCUGACAAGUUUUCUCCUUCUUGCUCCAGCCAGUAUUGUGGUUUAUCCUCCUACGGCUAAUUGCCAUAUAGCGGCCACAUACCAUGGCUCGCGAAAACAAGUUCAGCUCAAUAAAGAGCAUCAUUACCCGCUUCGAUGGACUAAGAGUAAGUGAGUUUUACAAAGAAAAAAAGUAAUGAGAGUAAAGGACAGAAAUAGUUGAGUUAAAAAGAUAGCAUUAAGAAAAGCGGACAGACAUUGCACUAAGUAUUAGAAUCUGCAAUUUUAAAAAAAUUUGUUUAUUUUUUUUGCUUAGCCUGUGUGAAUUCCGGUAUCGGCUAAAUGAGCUAUCUUUUAAUCAAGAAUAUAUCAUACAAACUUUCCCUACGUUCCUUGCAACAGGCAGGUUACAAGAAAAUCAUUUUUAAAACUAAGCAAACUUUAAGCAUCAUAUCAGAAUCAAUGGCAAGACAGCGAAAAAUCUAAGUUAUGGACUUUUUUUUGUCUUUUUCAAGUCAAGUUUUGCAAGUUAAGUAUAUUCUAGGCUGCUCAACUGUAGAUUGAAACUAUCCGUUAUGUUAUAGUACAAUUCUCAAUAAAGAUACGCUAAAUAAUAUAUGUAAAUUUACGUUGUAAUACAAAUCUCUGUAAAUCUA